CAGUCGCCGCGGGAAUACAGAGGGUGCGAGCGUUAAUCGGAUUUACUGGGCGUAAAGCGUGCGUAGGCGGCUUUUUAAGUCGGAUGUGAAAUCCCUGAGCUUAACUUAGGAAUUGCAUUCGAUACUGGGAAGCUAGAGUAUGGGAGAGGAUGGUAGAAUUCCAGGUGUAGCGGUGAAAUGCGUAGAGAUCUGGAGGAAUACCGAUGGCGAAGGCAGCCAUCUGACCUAAUACUGACGCUGAGGUACGAAAGCAUGGGGAGCAAACAGGAUUAGAGACCCGGGUAGUCCCUGUCUCUUAUAC
rnacentral:rRNA from 1 species